rnacentral:rRNA from 1 species
UACGAAGGGGGCUAGCGUUGUUCGGAAUUACUGGGCGUAAAGCGUGCGCAGGCGGCCUUCCAAGUCAGGGGUGAAAGCCCAGAGCUCAACUCUGGAAUUGCCUUUGAGACUGUGAGGCUUGAGUACGGGAGAGGUGAGUGGAAUUCCCAGUGUAGAGGUGAAAUGCGUAGAUAUCGGGAGGAACACCUGUGGCGAAAGCGGCUCACUGGACCACAACUGACGCUGAGGCGCGAAAGCGUGGGGAGCAAACAGG